rnacentral:sRNA from 1 species
CAGCGGCACUCCAUUCAUAGUUGGCAUGAGUGUAUCUGGAGGUAUUGUAGUCCUGGCGGUCAUCGUGGCUGUCUGUGUGAGACAACGUAGACGUGUGGUGACAAGCGUCCAGUACUCUAGCCCAGGGACGCAGAAUGUUUUUUCAACAUCAACCAGCACAAGUGUUACGUCAGGAUACAGCAACCCGGGCUUUGUCCGGACAUACUAGAAGUGCAAUAGAGUGUCCGAAUUUGUGCGGAUUUAAAGAUUUAAAGGUGGUUACACGUUUGAGAGAAAUGAGAGUUGACUUCGGGGGAGUUUGAAAUUAAUUUCUAAGUAAGAGCCGAGUUUUAAUUUAAAAUGUCUAUUAUUGUUUUUAAGUUGUGGAGUUAACAUAAAAAUAUAAAUUGUGACUUCAACCAAUGAAUGAUGAAUAGUUUCAUGAUAUUAUAACAUUAUUUUGGAACACUCUUGAACAUUUUAGUGUAUUUAAUUUUUAAAACAUUAUAACAGCUUUAAAUUAUUAAUUAUUUCUUUUGAAUAUGUAGUUUUAUUAUAUUUCUUGUAAGAUUAAGCAUUGUAGUGUGAUAUAGGAAUGACUUAAGUUUAAUAUUAAAACAUUUCACAAGAAUCA